rnacentral:lncRNA from 1 species
AUCUCACUGCCCCUCAGGUGCAUUGUUUUCUGUGUUUUUUUGUAGAAGUCAAAGUUGAACAUAAAAUUGUCAUUUAAUGUCACAUAGCAUUGAAUCUGGGCAAAAAGUUUAUAAAGAGAUUUGAUGUUGUUCCCCUCUCAUUUUAUUUGUUUAUUUAAAGCGAAGAGUCAUGAUGUAGCCCAGGCUUUCUGUGAACUUAACAGUGUUGUAUUUCAAACUUUUUUUUUCUUUUUUUUUUUUUUUUUUUUUUGGGUUUUCGAGACAGGGUUUCUCUGUAUAGCCCUGACUGUCCUGGAACUCACUUUGUAGACCAGGCUGGCCUCGAACUCAGAAAUCCGCCUGCCUCUGCCUCCCAAAUGCUGGGAUUAAAGGUGUGCGCCACCAUACCCAGCUAUUUUAAACUCUUGAGUGCAUAGACACCUUCCUUCCUUCCUACCUUUCUUCUUUUUAAAAUUUUAUAAUAGAGAGUCCUACAUUCCCUGCUAAAUUUGAACUUUUAAUAACCCUGCCUCAGCUUUCUAAGUGCUGGGAUUACUGGCAUGAACCACCAUUCAUCGCCUGGCCUGGCCUAGCUGAGACUAUUUCAAUCAAAAUCUCCAGUGGUCUUUCAUGUAUUAGUAGGAUAAAAGUAACGAAAGGCCUGUCUGGGGAAAAAAAAAAAGUAACGAAAGGUUAGAUGAUAUGAAAAAUAUAACACCAUUGGACUUUGAAAUAUGUAGAAGGAUGCAUAAGUGAAGACUUCUACCUUAGUUGAGUUUAUUUUUACUUAUUUUCUUUUUUGGCUUUUUGGGUUUGUUUUGAAAUAGUCUCACUAUGUAUAUAAGCUGACUGGCCUAAAGCUCACUAUGUAUGUAGACAAGAUUUGUCUUUGCACUCAGAAAAAUCCAACUGCCUCUACCUUCCCAGUACUGGGAUUAAAGACAUGUACCACCAUGCCCAGCCUGAUUUUAUUAAGAUAUGUAGAAAAGGAAAUAUCCCAGAGUUCUGCUUACCAACACGGGGCUCUUGGUAACAUGUUUGAAGCUUAUCACUCUUGUGAAAGAAAACAAUCUCUCUUAGUGUCUACCAAACACCAUGACAUACUGUUCAUGUCAUAUAUAUUACAUAAAGAUGGGAGGCCUGGGGCUGUAGUACUAUUCUUAACUUGCAUGUGCAUCAUGCAUGCAGUUUGGGAUUUGAUCCAUAACACUUUAUAAACCCAGUGAGGCAUCACCUGUAAUCCUAGGGGUGUCAUAGUUAUUCUCUGCUACAAAGUGAGUUAGUGACCAUCCUGAGCAACAUAGGACACUGUUACUGUUCCCUCCCCCAAAGUCCUGACAUUGUUUUUUCUGUAACUAGGAUGUAUUGUUGCACUGU